GCCUGAAAGUUGUUGGGACACGACUCUUUCUAAGACUUUAGAGAAGAAGGGAAGGUUGGAUACUGGUCGAUAGUUAUUUAGCGAUCCUGGGUCGAGGUGUGGUUUCUUAAGUAGAGGCUUAACCACAGCAGACUUAAAACUAGAAGGGACAACACCAGUCAUGAGAGAUGAGUUAACAAUAUUUAACAUUGUAGGUCCCAGUGCUGGACGUAGUUCUUUAAACAGUUUUGUCUGAAAGGGGUCCAGGACGCAGGUAGUUAGUUUAGAGGAUGAGACAAUUUUAGACAGUAUCUGAAGGGAGAUAUUUUCAAAAGUGUUUAGAGCUGAGACUAACUGAGAAUCGGCAGCAGGUAAUUUUUUGACAAAGUUUGACAAGGAAGCCAGAGAUGAUGAGUUAAUUUUAAUUCUGAUCUCAUCAAUUUUAUUGCAAAAGAAAUCUAAGAAAUCAUUUGCAUUAAAGGGUGCACAGCUCACCGACUGUGGUUUUUGAGUAAGUUUAGUCACAGUGUUAAAGAGAAAUCUAGGAUUGUGUUUAUUAUUGUUUAUUAGGCUGGAGAAAUAUGCAGUUCUAGCAGUAUUUAGAGCACGCUUAUAGUUUAGUACACUAUCAUGCCAGGCAAGAUGAAAAACCUCCAGUUUAGAUUUACGCCGGGUUUCGUCAGUAAACCAGGGAGUAGAUUUCUUUGGUCGUCUUGUCCUGGUAGAGACCGGUGCCACAGAAUCGAGGAGCGAAACAAGGACAGGCUAAUGAUGCUUCAAAUGUAAUGAGAAAGUGGUCCGACACAGCAGAGGAGACAGAAGCGACGUUCAGGGCUGACACAUCAAGUCCAUGGGAAAUGAUCAAAUCCAGAGUGUUUCCACUGGAGUGAGUGGGUUCAUGGACAAGCUGAAUAAAGUUGGAAAUAUCAAGAAGUCUCAAAAAAGCUUUCCCUAGAGGGUCAGAGGGCUUAUUUAAGUGAAUUUUGAAAUCCAAAAUGAUUAGGAUUUUAUUGAACGCGUCACAAGAUCUGCAAUAAAUUCACCAAAUUCUUCUAGGAACUGGGAGUAAGAGGUCUGUACAGUACAACCAGGUGAAGCCUGUUCCCUGGACAAGGCUGUUACUAUUUGAUGAGGAUGGUUUUAAAACCAGAGCCUCAAAUGAAGUAAAUUUAAUAUCCUGGUUGGAGCUUAGGC
rnacentral:lncRNA from 1 species